AUGGAAGACUACUUUGCGGAGGUACCUACAUACCCUCCUCGUCUCUUCCGCAGAAGGUACCGAAUGCGGCGUAGUUUGUUUGUGAAGAUUGUCACCGAUUUUGAGGCCGCCUCCUAUUACUUUAAACGUCGUAGAUCCGCCGCCGGUAUCAUGGGGUUUAUUGCAUAUCAAAAGAUAUCGGCGGCAAUGCGGGUACUCGCUUAUGGCAUUUAA
rnacentral:rRNA from 1 species